CCCCAUGUUGUCAGUGGUUGGAUUCCCGGCUUUUACCCAGGCGGCCCGGGGUUGAUUCCCGGCGUGGGGA